UACGGAGGGUGCAAGCGUUGUCCGGAAUCACUGGGCGUAAAGGGCGCGUAGGCGGCUCAUGGAAGGCUGUGGGUGAAAGUCCGGGGCUCAACCUCGGAUCGGCCGUGGCGACUCGUGGGCUGGAGCACUGUAGAGGCGGGUGGAAUUCCGGGUGUAGCGGUGGAAUGCGUAGAGAUCCGGAAGAACACCAGUGGCGAAGGCGGCCCGCUGGGCAGUGGCUGACGCUGAGGCGCGACAGCGUGGGGAGCAAACAGG
rnacentral:rRNA from 1 species